UUGUGCCCGGUCGAUUGUAGUAGUAGUUUCGCUUCGUAGCAGUGAUGUUCGCGUACAUCCGAUUUCAUUUCGACGAUGCGCGGCUUGUUGUGCCAACGUCUAAUAUUAGAAACUUCACGGAACCCGUAGACGGUACAGAUUUCAACGGGAACGCGACCUUUCCAGUUUGCGAUGUGUAUUGGCCCGGUGACAAGAAAACAAAGGGCGGCUACUAUGAGGCCGAUGUAGUUUUUUUGGCAGAAAGCGAAGAGGACGCAAGGCUUGGAGGAGAACGCAAGCGUCUCGGCAAGCCGUCGAAGAGCAACCACCUGCAUGCACCUGUUAGUCAGAAGAAGAGGCCUCUUAGGGAUACAGCUAGUAAGCGAAAGGCUGCAAGCCGUAGGGACGAACUGGCGCUUCUCGAUGAGCUGACUGGUGAAAGCGAAGACGAAGUUGUCCCAAAAAGGCUUCUUGAUGAGAGGGACAGCCACACAGGAUUUCUUGAAAAAGAAAUAAAAGACAUCAGAAAAUUAAAUACGCAACUCAGUAAAGCCCU